rnacentral:lncRNA from 1 species
GGAACAUUUACUCAGCUCUUGCUUUCAAGAAAAUUACAUAUUGGCUCGGGAGAUGAGAUAAAUGAAAAGGAAGCAGAUGAUCUGUUACAGGAGAGAUAACACCAUAAGCCCAACACUCACAAAAGCCGGACUGGCCUCCUUGAUCAACUGGGUCUGACCACUGCCACUGUCGUCAACCAUCUGGCGAGGAACUGUCUUCUCCAGAGAGAGACUGCCCUGUGUGCCAGACUCUAAAAUCAAACCAGGUUGCAAUUCAUCUUUCUUUACCGCAUGACCUUGGGUAAGUCAUGUGAUCUCCACCAUGUAACUUCAUUUAUGGAAUGAAGAUAAUUCUAAGAGCUACUGCAUAAGGAUUUUGUAAAGAUCAGUGAGACAAUACAUACAAAGAGCCCAGCAUUUAAGGAUUCAAUAAGUAUUAGCUAUUAAUUUAAUAAGAGGCAAAGAGUCAAACUUAGCUCAGAGGUUAAAAGUGCACUCUUUGGAGCCCUGUUGUUGAGUUUAAAAAUUUCAUUUGGAGAUUGAUGACUUGGGCGUCCUAUUUAAUCUCAACCCCACCUUGUUUUCCUUAUCUGUGAAAUAGAGUGAGGUAAUAGUCU